rnacentral:rRNA from 1 species
CCUACGGGUGGCUGCAGUGGGGAAUAUUGGACAAUGGGGGCAACCCUGAUCCAGCCAUGCCGCGUGUGUGAAGAAGGCCCUCGGGUUGUAAAGCACUUUCAGUGAGGAAGAACGCCUGGUGGUUAAUACCCAUCAGGAAAGACAUCACUCACAGAAGAAGCACCGGCUAACUCCGUGCCAGCAGCCGCGGUAAUACGGAGGGUGCGAGCGUUAAUCGGAAUUACUGGGCGUAAAGCGCGCGUAGGUGGCUUGAUAAGCCGGUUGUGAAAGCCCCGGGCUCAACCUGGGAACGGCAUCCGGAACUGUCAAGCUAGAGUGCAGGAGAGGAAGGUAGAAUUCCCGGUGUAGCGGUGAAAUGCGUAGAGAUCGGGAGGAAUACCAGUGGCGAAGGUGGCCUUCUGGACUGACACUGACACUGAGGUGCGAAAGCGUGGGUAGCAAACAGGAUUAGAUACCCUUGUAGUC